rnacentral:tRNA from 1 species
UCUCUUGUAGCUCAGUUGGUAAAGAAUCUGCCUGCAGUGCAGAAGACCCGGGUUCGAUUCCUGGGUUGGGAA